AUUUAAAUAGUUUAAUAAAAACAUUGAUUUGUGGAAUCAAAAAUAUUUAUAUU
rnacentral:tRNA from 1 species